rnacentral:rRNA from 1 species
UACGGAGGGUGCAAGCGUUAUCCGGAUUCACUGGGUUUAAAGGGUGCGUAGGCGGGUUGGUAAGUCCGUGGUGAAAUCCCCAAGCUUAACUUGGGAACUGCCGUGGAUACUAUCAAUCUUGAAUAUCGUGGAGGUAAGCGGAAUAUGUCAUGUAGCGGUGAAAUGCUUAGAUAUGACAUAGAACACCAAUUGCGUGAGGCAGCUUACUACACGAUCAUUGACGCUGAGGCACGAAAGCGGUGGGAGCAAACAGG